GAGAGUGCAUGUCCAUCAAGGUCACGCUUGAGACUAGCAGAGGCGAAACCAGCGGGAAGACGACUUCGCCACCAAGGGCCGGCGGGCCUGCUGGGAUACUCCGGGUGAGUGGGACGCACUGGGCGGGGUUUCGCCGUUCCGAGGAUGUCGGGGAAGGGGGGUCACUGCCAGAUGGAGGUUCCGGUUCCGGUGCAGUGUCUGGCUGGUUGCGUUGCUACGGCAGCGCGGUUGAGCGCUCUCGUCUGUGUGAUCGGGGCUUCGCUGACUUUCCGGCCUACUUAAGCCCCUGGGCCUGGGCCCAGGAAGGGUUUGUUGAACCGGGAGCUAAGAAGGGAAUUGGCUCGUUCGACAGACGUUUUCUGCGCAGCUGUGGCGUGCAAGGCACGGGGCCGGUGCGGGACCUCCAGAGAGACCUGUGCCCAAAGCUUGAGAAAUGAGAAGCAGAUUCCUGGAUUCCAGGUAAAUCAGAGGAACAAACCUGAACAGAAAUAUACAGGAAGUGAUGUGAUGCUGAAGCUUAACGCUUAUUUCAGAAGUCUGGUAUCUGGUGCUCUUAACAGCAGAAACUAUAUUAUUUGCAAAAUCACCACGCUUUUACUUGUAUUAUAUAGUAAUUUUUUAAAAAAUAAAUAUUGACAAUUUGUUCUUGAAA
rnacentral:lncRNA from 1 species